rnacentral:tRNA from 1 species
UGUGGUUCAGUGGUAGAGCACAUGCUUAUCAUGCAUGAGGUCCUGGGUUCAAUCCCUCCA